GAUGAACGCUAGCGGCGGGCCUAAUACAUGCAAGUCGAACGGGAAAGGUGGCAACACCUUGAGAGUGGCGUACGGGUGCGUAACGUGUAUACAACCUACCUGUUACACGGGGAUAGCCUUGCGAAAGCGAGAUUAAUACCCGAUGGUACUAUUGAGCGGCAUCGCUUGGUAGUUAAAGCUGAGGCGGUAACAGAGGGGUAUGCGUCCCAUUAGCUAGUUGGUAGUGUAACGGACUACCAAGGCGACGAUGGGUAGGGGUUCUGAGAGGAUGAUCCCCCACACUGGUACUGAGAUACGGACCAGACUCCUACGGGAGGCAGCAGUAGGGAAUAUUGGGCAAUGGACGGAAGUCUGACCCAGCCACGCCGCGUGCAGGAAGAAGGUCCUCUGGAUUGUAAACUGCUUUUCUUGGGGAAGAAAACCCUUCUGCGGAAGGAAUUGAGGGUACUCAAGGAAUAAGCAUCGGCUAACUCCGUG
rnacentral:rRNA from 1 species